rnacentral:rRNA from 1 species
AGUCGAACGAGAGAGAAGGAGCUUGCUUCUUCGAUCGAGUGGCGAACGGGUGAGUAACGCGUGAGGAACCUGCCUCAAAGAGGGGGACAACAGUUGGAAACGACUGCUAAUACCGCAUAAGCCCACGGAUCGGCAUCGAUCUGAGGGAAAAGGAGCAAUCCGCUUUGAGAUGGCCUCGCGUCCGAUUAGCUAGUUGGUGAGGUAAUGGCCCACCAAGGCGACGAUCGGUAGCCGGACUGAGAGGUUGAACGGCCACAUUGGGACUGAGACACGGCCCAGACUCCUACGGGAGGCAGCAGUGGGGAAUAUUGCACAAUGGGGGAAACCCUGAUGCAGCGACGCCGCGUGGAGGAAGAAGGUCUUCGGAUUGUAAACUCCUGUUGUUGAGGAAGAUAAUGACGGUACUCAACAAGGAAGUGACGGCUAACUACGUGCCAGCAGCCGCGGUAAAACGUAGGUCACAAGCGUUGUCCGGAAUUACUGGGUGUAAAGGGAGCGCAGGCGGGAAGACAAGUUGGAAGUGAAAUCUAUGGGCUCAACCCAUAAACCGCUUUCAAAACUGUUUUUCUUGAGUAGUGCAGAGGUAGGCGGAAUUCCCGGUGUAGCGGUGGAAUGCGUAGAUAUCGGGAGGAACACCAGUGGCGAAGGCGGCCUACUGGGCACCAACUGACGCUGAGGCUCGAAAGUGUGGGUAGCAAACAGGAUUAGAUACCCUGGUAGUCCACACCGUAAACGAUGAUUACUAGGUGUUGGAGGAUUGACCCCUUCAGUGCCGCAGUUAACACAAUAAGUAAUCCACCUGGGGAGUACGACCGCAAGGUUGAAACUCAAAGGAAUUGACGGGGGCCCGCACAAGCAGUGGAGUAUGUGG